rnacentral:rRNA from 1 species
UACGGGGGGGGCAAGCGUUGUUCGGAAUUACUGGGCGUAAAGGGCUCGUAGGUGGCCAACUAAGUCAGACGUGAAAUCCCUCGGCUUAACCGGGGAACUGCGUCUGAUACUGGAUGGCUUGAGUUCGGGAGAGGGAUGCGGAAUUCCAGGUGUAGCGGUGAAAUGCGUAGAUAUCGGAAGGAACACCAGUGGCGAAAGCGGCGCUCUGGACCUCUUCUGACGCUGAGGCGCGAAAGCCAGGGGAGCAAACGGG